AUCUGGUUGAUCCUGCCAGUCGUGAUAUGCUUCUUUCAAGGAUUAAGCCAUGCAUGUUUCAGAGUACGCGAAUGCCAAGCCAACAGCGGGUCUGCGAAUGGCUCAUUAAAUUCGGUUAUUACCUGCCCGGUAGAGCUUUCGGUGACCUUGUGUCAAUCUGCUAUAGCCUUCUGGAUAACCGUCCCAAAUGGGUGGCUAAUACACGUUAGAACAAUGUUCGGUCUGGCAUGGCUUCGGCUGUGUAGCCUUCUGGCUCUGGGGCAACCUUGGGUCUGAAGGCAUGACGGGCAUGUGGUCGACCGCAUCAAAGGUUGGCGCUCUCCUUGCGGGAGCAGCUUGCAUCGAUGAAUCAGGUCGAUCUUGUCGUACGGCGAAGGCAGAGUGACCGCAGUGUGUCGCUGCGAAACCGGCUGGAUUCCCGCCCUAUCAUGUUCACGAUGGUAGUGUAUUGGACUACCAUGACUUUGACGGGUAACGGGGAAUUUGGGUUUGAUUCCGGAGAGGGGGCCUGAGAGAUGGCCACCACGACUAAGGUUGGCAGCAGGCGCGCAAAUUGCCCACUGGAGAUUCAUGUCCGAGGCAGCGACGAAGAAUGGCAAUAGUGCAUGUGGUUUCCACAAGUGCUGUUCGCAAUGGAUGACAUCCAAACUACUCAGUGAGUAUCAACAGGAGGGCAAGUCUGGUGCCAGCAGCCGCGGUAAUUCCAGCUCCUGCAGUGUAUACAAGUAUUGCUGCUGUUAAAACGCUCGUAGUCGAUUGCAGAACGGUGGGAUCUGACGUAACUUUAUGCUUGCAUCUUGUAGUCAGCUUGCUCGCUGUUCGCCUAACACGGAACUGGUUUCUUUUGUCGGCGUCUUCUUCGGUGAUUACGUUUGGCAGCUCCCGCAUUGCAAUCAUGCAUCGGGGCUCAAGAAUAUGGGGCGUCCGUGGCCAACACCAUGAACAAAACAGAGUGUUCAACGCGGCCGACAAGCUCGGUGGCAUGAUCAAGCAUGGGAUGUUAGGGGAUCGACCAGCGUGACGGUUCGUUCUGCCUACCUUUGGACGUCCAUUGGGCAACCAGGGGGAAUGGUGCUAUGCCAGCCGGUGUCUUCCACUCCGGUGGUUGGCAGCGUGGUGUAGCUACUAGCCUCCAAUCGGAACUGAAGAGCAUGAUCGGGGCCCUGUGUAUUGUUGGGCGAGAGGUGAAAUUCUAUGACCCCAGCAGGACAAACUGCAGCGAAAGCGCUCUUUGGCAAGUUCAUGACUGUCGAUCAAGAACGAGAGUGUGGUGAUCGAAGAUGAUCAGAUACCGUCGUAGUCCAUUUCCGUCAACGCUGCCGGCAUGGGGUCGGAUCUGCUGAUCUUCGGAGAACAGGUUCGAUCCCCCUCCAUCAACGAGAAAUCCAAAGCUUAUGGGUUCAGGGGGGAGUACAUUCGCAAGGCUGAAACUUGAAGGAAUUGACGGAAUGACACCACCAGGCGUGGAGUCUGCGGCUUAAUUUGACUCAACGCGGGGAAUGUUACCGGGCCAGGACGCAGCGAGGAUGGACAGAUUGAUAGCUCUUUCUAGAUCCUUUGGAGGGUGGUGCAUGGCCGCUCCUGGUUCGUGGAGUGAUCCGUCUGGUUGAUUCCGAUAACGAGCGAGAUCUUUGCCUCUAUGUAGUGGUUGGCUCGCUUUAGAGCUGCACUCGGCUGCCUCGGUAGUCGUUGCCUGUAGACUCGAGAGCCUUUAUACACUUCUCAGAGGAUCUGUAUGCGUCAAAAGCAUGUGUAAGCACGAGGCGACAGCAGGUCUGUGAU
rnacentral:rRNA from 1 species